ACGGGAGGCAGCAGUGGGGAAUAUUGCACAAUGGGCGAAAGCCUGAUGCAGCAACGCCGCGUGAGUGAUGAAGGCCUUCGGGUCGUAAAACUCUGUCCUCAAGGAAGAUAAUGACGGUACUUGAGGAGGAAGCCCCGGCUAACUACGUGCCAGCAGCCGCGGUAAUACGUAGGGGGCUAGCGUUAUCCGGAUUUACUGGGCGUAAAGGGUGCGUAGGCGGUCUUUCAAGUCAGGAGUGAAAGGCUACGGCUCAACCGUAGUAAGCUCUUGAAACUGGGAGACUUGAGUGCAGGAGAGGAGAGUGGAAUUCCUAGUGUAGCGGUGAAAUGCGUAGAUAUUAGGAGGAACACCAGUUGCGAAGGCGGCUCUCUGGACUGUAACUGACGCUGAGGCACGAAAGCGUGGGGAGCAAACAGGAUUAGAUACCCUGGUA
rnacentral:rRNA from 1 species